AUGGCGCUCCUCCUCCGGCCGUCGCCUCCCCCACCCCAUCUCCGCCUUCUUCUCCGCCGCCUCCUCUCCAGCGCCCCUACCCCCUCCCGUCUGCUCCCGGUCCCCUCCCCCUCCGCUCGACACCUCUUCAGACCCAGGGUUGUGGCGGCGGUGGUCCCAGGGCGGAAUGGGGUCGCGGUGAGGGCUUUCAUGGCCUCCACGGUGGCAUCCGAUGCGAUGCAGGAGAAGCGGGUGGCCGGCGAGUACACCGCAGCAAACGUCCAGGUCUUAGAGGCAUUGGACGGAGUUCGCAAAAGGCCUGGUAUGUACAUUGGCAGCACAGGACCACGUGGGUUGCAUCAUCUGGUUGUUGAAAUAUUGGAUAAUGCUGUGGAUGAAGCUCAAGCAGGCUAUGCUACUGAGAUUAAUGUAGUCCUUCAUGAUGACAAUUCAGUUAGUGUAACUGACAAUGGCCGUGGGAUCCCUACAGAUAUACACCCGCAGACGAAGAAAUCAUGCGUGGAGACUGUCUUAACGCUAAUGCAUGCUGGUGGCAAAUUUGGAGGCUCAACGAGUAGCUACAGCGUUGCUGGAGGGCUGCAUGGUGUUGGCCUAUCAGUUGUUAAUGCGUUGUCAGAGGCACUAGAAGUUACAGUUUGCCGUGAUGGGAAGGAAUAUCGACAACGCUAUUCUCGUGGAAAACCACUUACAACGCUAAGUAGUACCACACUGCCUGAUGAAUCAAGUCGUCAAGGUUCAUGUAUCAGAUUUUGGCCUGACAAAGAAAUAUUUACAACUGCAAUUGAGUUUGACUUCAGCACGAUCUCUAGUUGCAUCCGGGAACUUGCAUUUUUAAAUCCUAAGCUGACAAUAACACUGACAAAGGAAGAACAGGAUGCACAGGUUCAACACAAUGAAUACUGUUAUGCUGGUGGCCUGGUUGAAUAUGUUGCCUGGUUGAAUACUGACAAGAAACCCCUCCACGACCCAAUAGCAUUCAGAAAGGAAUUGGAUGGAAUAGUUGUUGAUGUCUCCCUGCAAUGGUGCUCUGAUUCCUACUCUGAUACAGUGCUAGGAUAUGCCAACAGUAUCCGUACUAUUGAUGGUGGUACUCAUAUUGAGGGGCUGAAAACUUCCCUGACAAGAACAAUUAAUAGCUUUGCAAAGAAGUCGAAGAUUAUGAAGGAUAAAGACAUUAGCUUGAGUGGGGAGCAUGUAAGAGAAGGAGUGACAUGCAUUAUUUCAGUGAAGGUCCCUAAUCCAGAGUUUGAAGGGCAGACAAAGACCAGGCUGGGAAAUCCAGAAGUGCGAAGAAUAGUUGAACAAUCUGUUCAAGAAAAUCUAACUGAAUACUUGGAGUUACAUCCAGAUGUUUUAGAUUCAAUUCUGUCCAAGUCCCUUAAUGCUCUCAAGGCUGCAUUGGCAGCCAAGCGGGCUAGAGAGUUAGUGAGGACAAAGAGUGUCUUGAAAUCUUCUUCACUUCCUGGGAAACUUGCUGAUUGUGCAUCUUCUAACCCUGCAGAAUCUGAAAUCUUCAUAGUUGAAGGUGAUUCGGCUGGGGGUAGUGCAAAGCAAGGCCGGGAUAGGAAAUUUCAGGCCAUUUUGCCUCUGAGGGGCAAAAUUCUCAACAUUGAGAGGAGGGAUGAAGCAGCCAUGUACAAAAAUGAAGAGAUCCAAAAUCUUAUUCUUGGUCUUGGAUUAGGAGUGAAGGGUGAGGAUUUUAAGAAGGAAGCUCUUCGGUAUCAUAAGAUAGUUAUACUGACAGAUGCUGAUGUAGAUGGUGCACAUAUCCGGACUCUUCUCCUCACUUUCUUCUUUAGAUAUCAGAGAGCACUUUUCGAUGAAGGUUGCAUCUAUGUUGGUGUGCCUCCUCUUUACAAGGUUGAGCGUGGGAAACAAGUGCACUACUGCUAUGAUGAGGCUGAUCUUAAAGAGCUAGUCAACACCUUCCCUACAAAUGCUUCUUAUAAUACCCAGAGGUUCAAAGGUUUGGGCGAGAUGAUGCCCUUACAAUUGUGGGAAACAACAAUGGAUCCUGAAAGGAGGCUGUUGAAGCAGCUAACGGUCGAAGAUGCUGCAGAGGCCAAUGUUGUGUUCUCAUCUCUUAUGGGUGCUCGGGUUGAAUACAGGAAGGAACUAAUCCAGAAGGCCGCAAGCAUGGUCAACCUAGAUCACCUUGACAUCUGA
rnacentral:rRNA from 1 species